GAUUCGCACACCAUGGCAGCGGUGGUGUCGGCGCUUCAUGGCGGGGUCGAAAUUUAAAACCCCGGGGCUUAACAGCAAUAUUGUCCUUGUCAGAAAUGUUCGCAGAAGUUAAAAGACACCGGGACGAUCGCGUCCAACGACAGGAGGAGCUCGGAAAUUCACUGAGAAAGAACAACGCCCUCCUGUAAGCUGUGAGGAAGAGACACCGGGAGAACCUCGUCCUUUUAAAACUGAAGAAGAAAAGUAGAUCUACGAACCAGUAAGACUCAUUUUUCUUUUUAUUCUGUGUGUUUUGGAAGGCCGCCGCGCCGCUCUCUCACAAACACGCACACAUGCACACACACUGACUUACAUCCUCCCCUCUCUCUGUCUUUGCUGUGUAUUGAAGGUGGAUUGUCGUGGUCGCCGUGUCAUGACUGUUUGUUUGUCUCAUCAGCUUGAAAUGUUUUAUUUUAUGUGUGUUAUAUGUCUUUACUUGGCCGCCGCGCCAUGACUAUUUUUUACAACACCCGUUUGACCGACAUAGCCAUAGUCUGCGCAUCCAAUUUGACCAUGGCCACCAAAUUAUUCCGUCUGUCCAACAUGGCCACCCAUUCGUUUGUCUCUCUUUGUGUGUCUAUUUCUCUCUGUUUUUUCUUCUGUGUUGAGGAACAGAUAGCAGAUCUCUUAAUUGUGUCGGAAGGGAUGGCCUUCCAACACAAUUGGAGCAUUUAGAAGCCUUGUUGUUUGGAUAGUGAGCUUAUUUAGGACUGCUGAGUGGUUGGGAGCUUGGAGAGAAAUUCUGUCCCCUUGUUUGUUGGACCUAAAUACACACUAAGACAAAGACUGGCUUUGGUUUUGCUAAACUAGUGAUAGUGUGACCAGAAAGAUUGAGAUGUAGGAUCAGAGCUGGAUUGGUGUGGUGCAGAAAGGGACUUUUCCAGAGGUCUGUGGUGGGUCAGACAGGUUUUUUUUUUUAAGUCAGAUAUUUGGUAGUUUAUUGGUCCUUUAGCUACAAUAUAUGAUGAUGAUGAUAGGAAUGGAGAGCUUUUGUAGUGUGGUAUAAAGAAGGGUGGUAAACGUCAGAAGUUGUAUAGAAGGUGCCUUGUCUUGGUCGCUGUUCCGUGACUUUAGAUUGAUGUCUGUCUAAUAAGCUUGGAUGAAUAUUUAUGCACUAAUCCCUUUUCCUUUUUAGGUAAAUCUACAAUCGGUGAGUCCCAUUUUUAUAUUCUUUCAUUCUAUGUUGUGUUUUUGGAUGGUUGCUGUGCCUUCCUGCUUAUGUUUGUAGUACAGCUGAACAAUUAAAUAUUAGGUACAGAGUCUGUGUGUGUAUAUGACAGAGAUAGUAUAG